rnacentral:rRNA from 1 species
UACGGAGGGAGCUAGCGUUAUUCGGAAUUACUGGGCGUAAAGCGCACGUAGGCGGCUUUGUAAGUUAGAGGUGAAAGCCUGGAGCUCAACUCCAGAAUUGCCUUUAAGACUGCAUCGCUUGAAUUGUGGAGAGGUAAGUGGAAUUCCGGAGUGUAGAGGUGAAAUUCGUAGAUAUUCGGAAGAACACCAGUGGCGAAGGCGACUUACUGGACACAUAUUGACGGCUGAGGUGGCGAAAGCGUGGGGAGCAAACAGG